GAUUGAACGCUGGCGGCAGGCUUAACACAUGCAAGUCGAGCGGGGGAAGUUGCUUCGGUAACUGACCUAGCGGCGGACGGGUGAGUAAUGCUUAGGAAUCUGCCUAUUAGUGGGGGACAACAUUUCGAAAGGGAUGCUAAUACCGCAUACGCCCUAAGGGGGAAAGCAGGGGAUCUUCGGACCUUGCGCUAAUAGAUGAGCCUAAGUCGGAUUAGCUAGUUGGUGGGGUAAAGGCCUACCAAGGCGACGAUCUGUAGCGGGUCUGAGAGGAUGAUCCGCCACACUGGGACUGAGACACGGCCCAGACUCCUACGGGAGGCAGCAGUGGGGAAUAUUGGACAAUGGGGGGAACCCUGAUCCAGCCAUGCCGCGUGUGUGAAGAAGGCCUUUUGGUUGUAAAGCACUUUAAGCGAGGAGGAGGCUACUGGUAUUAAUACUACUGGAUAGUGGACGUUACUCGCAGAAUAAGCACCGGCUAACUCUGUGCCAGCAGCCGCGGUAAUACAGAGGGUGCGAGCGUUAAUCGGAUUUACUGGGCGUAAAGCGUGCGUAGGCGGCUGAUUAAGUCGGAUGUGAAAUCCCUGAGCUUAACUUAGGAAUUGCAUUCGAUACUGGUCAGCUAGAGUAUGGGAGAGGAUGGUAGAAUUCCAGGUGUUGCGGUGAAAUGCGUAGAGAUCUGGAGGAAUACCGAUGGCGAAGGCAGCCAUCUGGCCUAAUACUGACGCUGAGGUACGAAAGCAUGGGGAGCAAACAGGAUUAGAUACCCUGGUAGUCCAUGCCGUAAACGAUGUCUACUAGCCGUUGGGGCCUUUGAGGCUUUAGUGGCGCAGCUAACG
rnacentral:rRNA from 1 species